AUACUUCAGUUUCCCUUCAGAUCAUAUAAAUCUUUCGCCUUUUACUAAAGAUUUCCAUGGAGGGAAACAAAUCUGAGUUUCAGUGGGG
rnacentral:snRNA from 1 species